ACGAACGCUGGCGGCGCGCCUAACACAUGCAAGUCGAACGAGAGAGAGGGAGCUUGCUUCCUUGAUCGAGUGGCGAACGGGUGAGUAACGCGUGAGGAACCUGCCUCAAAGAGGGGGACAACAGUUGGAAACGACUGCUAAUACCGCAUAAGACACGACCCGGCAUCGGGAAGAGGGAAAAGGAGCAAUCCGCUUUGAGAUGGCCUCGCGUCCGAUUAGCUAGUUGGUGAGGUAACGGCCCACCAAGGCGACGAUCGGUAGCCGGACUGAGAGGUGGAACGGCCACAUUGGGACUGAGACACGGCCCAGACUACUACGGGAGGCAGCAGUGGGGAAUAUUGCACAAUGGGGGAAACCCUGAUGCAGCGACGCCGCGUGGAGGAAGAAGGUCUUCGGAUUGUAAACUCCUGUUGUUGAGGAAGAUAAUGACGGUACUCAACAAGGAAGUGACGGCUAACUACGUGCCAGCCGCCGCAGUAA
rnacentral:rRNA from 1 species